GGCAUCGGGAUUGAAGCUUGCUUCAAUUGCCGGCGACCGGCGCACGGGUGCGUAACGCGUAUGUAACCUACCUAUAACAGGGGCAUAACACUGAGAAAUUGGUACUAAUUCCCCAUAAUAUUCGGAGAGGCAUCUCUCCGGGUUGAAAACUCCGGUGGUUAUAGAUGGACAUGCGUUGUAUUAGCUAGUUGGUGAGGUAACGGCUCACCAAGGCAACGAUACAUAGGGGGACUGAGAGGUUAACCCCCCACACUGGUACUGAGACACGGACCAGACUCCUACGGGAGGCAGCAGUGAGGAAUAUUGGUCAAUGGACGCAAGUCUGAACCAGCCAUGCCGCGUGCAGGAAGACGGCUCUAUGAGUUGUAAACUGCUUUUGUACGAGGGUAAACUCACCUACGUGUAGGUGACUGAAAGUAUCGUACGAAUAAGGAUCGGCUAACUCCGUGCCAGCAGCCGCGGUAAUACGGAGGAUUCAAGCGUUAUCCGGAUUUAUUGGGUUUAAAGGGUGCGUAGGCGGUUUGAUAAGUUAGAGGUGAAAUCCCGGGGCUUAACUCCGGAACUGCCUCUAAUACUGUUAGACUAGAGAGUAGUUGCGGUAGGCGGAAUGUAUGGUGUAGCGGUGAAAUGCUUAGAGAUCAUACAGAACACCGAUUGCGAAGGCAGCUUACCAAACUAUAUCUGA
rnacentral:rRNA from 1 species